GACGAACCAUCCAAACGUUAUUCGGAAUUACUGGGCUUAAAGGGUGCGUAGGCUGCGCAGUAAGUUGGGUGUGAAAUCCCUCGGCUUAACCGAGGAACUGCGCCCAAAACUACUGUGCUUGAGGGAGACAGAGGUGAGCGGAACUUAGGGUGGAGCGGUGAAAUGCGUUGAUAUCCUAAGGAACACCCGUGGCGAAAGCGGCUCACUGGGUCUCUUCUGACGCUGAUGCACGAAAGCUAGGGGAGCGAACGGG
rnacentral:rRNA from 1 species